CUAAGCUACCGGCUCUGCAGGGAAGACGAUGAGUUUGUCAACUGCCACAAUGUAACCAAUGGCUCCGCUAUCAGCCAUGCAGCCUCAGCCACGUGGCAUGAUACUUCAAUCAACUUAAUUCCAGCAGGAUGGAACCCAAAACGAUGUUUUAAAAUGGACGCUCUCCUGAAAUGGGAAAGUGAGAGCAGCAUGGACUGAGGCUUGCGGAAGGGAAAUGAGCUGGAAGCCAAGCAAAAAUAGCAUACCCUGUGAAGAUCCCUUUGAUGAAUGUGAUUUCUCAACGAUGGCGGACAUGGCAUGACGCUGUGGAUACAAAAGAAACCCUCUGAAGAAGAAAGCUGUCCCCAAACUGAGAAUACGAGCAACUGCAGGGCUGGUAGCAGGGAUUAGAAGUCUGAGCUCCAAUAGGAGGCAUUUUUGUGUGAGAUGGAUCCAGUGCUUGCUGAUGAGAAUGCUAGUCGAGGUGUUUCCAAACUUCCCAGGGCAGAUGUCGGGAAUAUAAAGAGCACUGCAGUGCGAGGACAAGCAACAUGUCCAUCACCACAUAAUCUAAGUCCUGAAGUGGAGUGUUUAUUUUCACACAGAAAAGUCACAGUUACGUGGAGUUUCGCUAUAACAGGAGAGAGCCUACCUGGUUAUUGCUCCCGCCUUCUCAGCCCAGGAACAAUGG